rnacentral:rRNA from 1 species
AUUGAACGCUGGCGGCAAGCCUAACACAUGCAAGUCGAACGAGUGGCGGACGGGUGAGUAAUGUCUGGGAAACUGCCUGAUGGAGGGGGAUAACUACUGGAAACGGUAGCUAAUACCGCAUACCAUCGGAUGUGCCCAGAUGGGAUUAGCUAGUAGGUGGGGUAAAGGCUCACCUAGGCGACGAUGCCUAGCUGGGCUGAUAGGAUGACGAGCCACACUGGAACUGAGACAGGGGCCAGACCCCUACGGGAGGCAGGAGUGGGGAAUAGUUCACAAUGGGCGAAAGCCUUAUGCAGCCAUGCCGCGUGUAUGAAGAAGGCCUUCGGUUUGUAAAGUACUUUCAGCGGGGAGGCGUUACCCGCAGAAGAAGCACCGGCUAACUCCGUGCCAGCAGCCGCGGUAAUAC